GUUUAUCCAUGCCCAAAAGGAUCUAUAAGACAUAGAGAAGUCGCCAAGAAAAUUGGUGGGAAGGAAUUGUAAGCACAAUCAUAUAAUCACAAAAGAUUUAAAUGAUGAAAACACAUUUUAUAUCCUCUUCUGUGAUAUAAAAAAUUGGGGGUGAUCGAUCAAUCCCUAUGGACAUCAAAGUAUCAUUUAUUCACCAAUAAAGAUAUCUUUUCGGAUUUUAAAUUUUAAUGUUUUUAACUUAUUUGCUGUAUGUUGGAAAAUAAUCCUUUUUUAUCAGAACUUGUAUUAUCAUCUAUUAUCCAACUUGGCUUCCUAAAUUAGAAGAAAAUAACAAUGGCCC
rnacentral:lncRNA from 1 species